CUCCGCUCUGACUGGCUCUCCACCACCUGCCGGAACCUAUCCUCUCGUUGGCAGUCGCCAAGUCGCUGCGCGUGCGCACUUUCCUAUAGACCCGGAAGCGGAUCGAGCGGGGCUGAGGUAACCCCCGGGGUGAUCUUGCCUGAGAAAGAAGCUCAGAAGAAGAGGAAAGAAGUAGUAAUGGCUCUUUCCCAGGUAAAAGUCAUAUUCUCAGUUGAUUGUUCUGUCUUUCCUUCCUGAACUGUCGAUUAUUG
rnacentral:lncRNA from 1 species